AUUGAACGCUGGCGGCAGGCCUAACACAUGCAAGUCGAACGGUAGCACAGAGAGCUUGCUCUCGGGUGACGAGUGGCGGACGGGUGAGUAAUGUCUGGGAAACUGCCUGAUGGAGGGGGAUAACUACUGGAAACGGUAGCUAAUACCGCAUAACGUCGCAAGACCAAAGAGGGGGACCUUCGGGCCUCUUGCCAUCAGAUGUGCCCAGAUGGGAUUAGCUAGUAGGUGGGGUAACGGCUCACCUAGGCGACGAUCCCUAGCUGGUCUGAGAGGAUGACCAGCCACACUGGAACUGAGACACGGUCCAGACUCCUACGGGAGGCAGCAGUGGGGAAUAUUGCACAAUGGGCGCAAGCCUGAUGCAGCCAUGCCGCGUGUAUGAAGAAGGCCUUCGGGUUGUAAAGUACUUUCAGCGGGGAGGAAGGUGUUGUGGUUAAUAACCGCAGCAAUUGACGUUACCCGCAGAAGAAGCACCGGCUAACUCCGUGCCAGCAGCCGCGGUAACAC
rnacentral:rRNA from 1 species